AUAAGGUAAUAAGGGCAUACGGUGGAUGCCUUGGUACCAACAGCCGAAGAAGGACGUGGCAAGCUGCGAGAAGCUGCGGCGAGGCGCAAGCGGCCUUUGACCCGCAGAUGUCCGAAUGGGGCAACCCACCUGGAGUAGUCCAGGUAUCCCGUAAGGGAAGGAACCCGGAGAAGUGAAACAUCUCAGUAUCCGGAGGAAGAGAAAUCGAAGAGAUUCCCUAAGUAGUGGUGAGCGAACGGGGAAGAGCCUAAACCAUAUACAUGUAAGGCUGCGGUCGUUGUGUAUAUGGUGUAGAGGGGCUUUUCAUGCAUAGUCCGCAGGCUAGGCACGGAGUUAUCAAGAUACUUUUUAGCAGAACUGUGUUGGGAAAGCAGGCCAUAGACGGUGAGAGCCCGGUAUGCGACAGAGAGUAUCCUCCGAGAAGAGUUCCCGAGUAGGCCGGAGCACGUGGAAUUCCGGUUGAAUCAGGGUGGACCAUCAUCCAAGGCUAAAUACUGUUGGUGACCGAUAGUGGAUGAGUACCGAGAGGGAAGGGUGAAAAGCACCCCUGGCGGGGAGUGAAAUAGACCUGAACCCGUAUGCCUACAAGCAAUCGGAGCAAGAGAUGCCGCGAGGCAUUGAAUGUGACGGUGUGCCUUUUGUAAAAUGAGCCGGCGAGUUAUUAGACGUAGCGAGGUUAAGGUGCGUAUGUGCACUGGAGCCGUAGGGAAACCGAGUCUGAAUAGGGCGCAAGUUUCGUUUAAUAGACCCGAAGCCGCACGAUCUAUCCAUGGCCAGGUUGAAGUCCGGGUGAAGCCGGAUGGAGGACCGAACCAGUUUCUGUUGAAAAAGAUUUGGAUGAGCUGUGGAUCGGAGUGAAAAGCUAAUCGAGUGCGGUGAUAGCUGGUUCUCCCCGAUAUGCAUUGAGGUGCAGCCUUACGGAAUUGAGAUAUGGGGGUAGAGCACUGGAUGGACGCGGGGGACUGGGGUCCUACCAAAUUCAACCAAACUUCGAAUACCAUAUUUUGUACCGUAGGAGUGAGACUACGGGUGAGAAGGUCCGUGGUCGUGAGGGAAACAGCCCAGACCGUCAGCUAAGGUCCCAAAGCGUAUGCUAAGUGUGGCAAGGAUGUGAGAGUGCCUGGACAGCCAGGAGGUUGGCUUAGAAGCAGCCACCCUUUAAAGAGUGCGUAACAGCUCACUGGUCGAGGACUUUUGCGCCGAGAAUGUAGGGGGCUAAGCAUACUGCCGAAGCUGCGGGAUAUGUGCAAGAGUGUAUAUAUCGGUAGGGGAGCGUUCCAUACGGGGCGAAGCAGAGCCGCGAGGUCAUGUGGACUGUAUGGAAGUGAGAAUGCUGGCAUGAGUAACGCGAAGUGCGUGAGAAACGUACUCACCGGAAGCCCAAGGGUUCCUGGGGAAGGUUCAUCCGCCCAGGGUUAGGCGGGACCUAAGGCGAGGCCGAGAGGCGUAGUCGAUGGAUAGCAGGUAGAUAUUCCUGUCCCAGCCAAUGAGCGUUAAUACCGAAGGGGUGACACAGAAAGCUAGGUGAUCCGGGUGAUGGAAGUCCCGGUCCAAGGGUGUAGGGAGUUUCCGCAGGCAAAUCCGCGGGAAUAAUUCUGAGACCUGAUGGGGAGGCCCUACGGGGUCGAAGUCAUUGAAGCUCGGCUGUCGAGAAAAGCCUCUAGGGAGUUUGUUGGUUGCUCGUACCCGAAACCGACACAGGUGGGCUAGCUGAGGAAGCUAAGGUGAGCGGGAAAACCCUCGUUAAGGAACUCUGCAAGUUGACCCCGUAACUUCGGGAGAAGGGGUGCCACUCUGGUGAAAUAUAAUCAUAUGGAGCUAAGGGUGGUCGCAGAAACCAGGCUCAGGCGACUGUUUACUAAAAACACAGGUCUCUGCAUAAGGCGUAAGCCGAAGUAUAGGGACUGACACCUGCCCGGUGCUGGAAGGUUAAAUGGAGAGGUUAGCGUAAGCGAAGCCUUGAUAUGAAGCCCCAGUAAACGGCGGCCGUAACUAUAACGGUCCUAAGGUAGCGAAAUUCCUUGUCGGGUAAGUUCCGACCUGCACGAAUGGUGUAACGAUCUGAGCACUGUCUCAACGAGGGACCCGGUGAAAUUGUGGUACUGGUAAAGACGCCAGUUACCUGUGGUGGGACGGAAAGACCCCGUGGAGCUUUACUGUAGCCUGAUAUUGGAUUUUGGUCUGUCAUGUACAGGAUAGGUGGGAGGCGUAGAAUGGAGGGCGUCAGCCUUUCAGGAGCCGUUGUUGGGAUACCACCCUUGACAUACCGAAGUUCUAACUGUUGAGUCUGAAUCGGCUGGCAGGACAUUGUCAGGUGGGCAGUUUGACUGGGGCGGUCGCCUCCUAAAGAGUAACGG
rnacentral:rRNA from 1 species